UCCAGUGAGGUCAAAGACUCAUGAGGGGUGUGUCCUCAGAGGAAGUUUUAUGAUCCCGACUGCUUUCUCUUGGUUCCUACUUGCUGAUGAAACAGAUCAGUGAUUUUUGUUCUGCUACAUAUUCCCAUCAUGAUGCUGUCUUAUCACAGGUGCAAGGCAAUAGGACAACCCAGCACAAAUUGAAAUCUAUAAAAUUGCAGGCCAAAUAUAUGUGGGUACAUUCCCUAUCCACCUCCCUCAGGACUGAGUGCUGUCAUACAGAACAAGUAUUUUUCUCUUGGGAUGUAGAUUUAAGGACUAGUUACAUGCACCUGAUCAAGUGACUUGAGAUGAACGAUCAGAUAUGGAUCAUUCCUGGUCAAGAUAUAUAAAUUCCGACAUCUAUGGAGAAAAUUCUGUGUGUUAGGGAUGCAACAUCUUGAAAUGAGGAGCUGACUAGAACAUGCAGAUCUCUGUUCCUGCUGUCUUGGAAACAUAUCCUUCAAUGUUUUUAAGCCCAAUGAAUAAUACUGCCACUGGUUUAUACACUCAGGGAAGCUGCUCGCUUUCUGUAAUUCCUUCCCUGCAGUAUACAGACAAGACUUCAUCUACCUUGGAAUGCUUUCCUAGGCCUUGUGGGGCUGGCUGGCAAUGAAUACAGCUUCUGCUGGUCCUCUGAUAUCUACUCAUAAUAAACCUCCAUCAU